rnacentral:rRNA from 1 species
GAUGAACGCUGGCGGCGUGCUUAACACAUGCAAGUCGAACGAUGAAGCCCAGCUUGCUGGGUGGAUUAGUGGCGAACGGGUGAGUAACACGUGAGUAACCUGCCCUUAACGCUGGGAUAAGCCUGGGAAGCUGGGUCUAAUACCGGAUAGGAGCGCCUACCGCAUGGUGGGUGUUGGAAAGAUUUAUCGGUUUUGGAUGGACUCGCGGCCGAUCAGCUUGUUGGUGAGGUAAUGGCUCACCAAGGCGACGACGGGUAGCCGGCCUGAGAGGGUGACCGGCCACACUGGGACUGAGACACGGCCCAGACUCCUACGGGAGGCAGCAGUGGGGAAUAUUGCACAAUGGGCGAAAGCCUGAUGCAGCGACGCCGCGUGAGGGAUGACGGCCUUCGGGUUGUAAACCUCUUUCAGUAGGGAAGAAGCGAAAGUGACGGUACCUGCAGAAGAAGCACCGGCUAACUACGUG